UACGUAGGGGGCUAGCGUUAUCCAGAAUUACUGGGCGUAAAGGGUGCGUAGGUGGUUUCUUAAGUCAGAGGUGAAAGGCUACGGCUCAACCGUAGUAAGCCUUUGAAACUGGGAAACUUGAGUGCAGGAGAGGAGAGUGGAAUUCCUAGUGUAGCGGUGAAACGCGUAGAUAUUAGGAGGAACACCAGUUGCGAAGGCGGCUCUCUGGACUGUAACUGACACUGAGGCACGAAAGCGUGGGGAGCAAACAGG
rnacentral:rRNA from 1 species